rnacentral:rRNA from 1 species
UACAGAGGGGGCAAGCGUUGUUCGGAAUUACUGGGCGUAAAGGGCGCGUAGGCGGCUCCAAAAGUCAGGGGUGAAAUCCGGCAGCUUAACUGUCGCAGUGCCUUUGAUACUGUGGAGCUAGAGGGAGGUAGGGGUCUGUGGAACUUCCGGUGGAGCGGUGAAAUGCGUUGAUAUCGGAAGGAACGCCGGUGGCGAAAGCGACGGACUGGAUCUCAUCUGACGCUGAGGCGCGAAAAGCCAGGGGGA